CACAUGCUGUCUUUAAUGGGAAUUUAUACAUUUAACUGAGCCAGCCAGUGGGCGGUUUGCUCUUUCAGGUAAGACUGCUUUAUCUUGCAGAUCUCCCUUUCCUAAUUACAUCCGCCCAUUCCAGCAUCAAGAAUGACAUCAGACAGAAGCACUUCUAGGUGGAAUUUUUUUUUAAGAUGAAGAUGUACUAUAGUAAAUUAGGUAACUGUCAUCCUAAGUUCUUCCUUCUACAAGUAGGAAAUAAGUGUCUUUAAUUGGAAUAAGAAUAUAGGGAUACAGUCAGAAUUCAGGGAAUGGAAGAUGUGGCCUAAGGGGUCCAGAGUGAAGAGAAGUACUCAAGAGGUAAGGAAAAAAAGAAACUAGUCAGGAGAGGUGCAGAGCAGUGUGUAACAUACCACCAUACAUAACCCACACACACACAUACCUGUUGUAUGUGCAUUAAGUAGCUCUAGAUUGAAGGAAACCACUCUUAACAGUGAUUGAUUGUUUCUAAGAAGAGAAACUGGCAGCUAGGGUAGGAAGGGGUCUUCUCAUUGUGUGCCCCUU
rnacentral:lncRNA from 1 species